GACGAACGCUGGCGGCGUGCUUAACACAUGCAAGUCGAACGGAAAGGCCCUGCUUUUGUGGGGUGCUCGAGUGGCGAACGGGUGAGUAACACGUGAGUAACCUGCCCUUGACUUUGGGAUAACUUCAGGAAACUGGGGCUAAUACCGGAUAGGAGCUCCUGCUGCAUGGUGGGGGUUGGAAAGUUUCGGCGGUUGGGGAUGGACUCGCGGCUUAUCAGCUUGUUGGUGGGGUAGUGGCUUACCAAGGCUUUGACGGGUAGCCGGCCUGGAAGGGUGACCGGACCACCUUGGGCCUGAGGGACGGCCGAGGCCCCGAGGGGAGGAAGCAGGGGGAAAUAUUGCACAAGGGGGGGAGCCUGGGUGAAGCAACCCCGGGGGGGGGAUAGCGCCUUUGGGUUUGAAAACCGGUUUCGCCUGAGACGAGGGGUGAGUGGAGGUAAUGAGAAAAAAAACCCCGGCUAACUACGUC
rnacentral:rRNA from 1 species